rnacentral:rRNA from 1 species
AACGAACGCUGGCGGCAUGCCUAACACAUGCAAGUCGAACGAGACCUUCGGGUCUAGUGGCGCACGGGUGCGUAACACGUGGGAAUUUGCCUCGGGGUAUGGAAUAACUCAGGGAAACUUGAGCUAAUACCAUAUAAUGUCUUCGGACCAAAAGAUUUAUCGCCCUGAGAUAAGCCCGCGUAGGAUUAGCUAGUUGGUGGGUAAAGGCUCACCAAGGCGACGAUCCUUAGCUGGUCUGAGAGGAUGAUCAGCCACACUGGGACUGAGACACGGCCCAGACUCCUACGGGAGGCAGCAGUGGGAAUAUUGGACAAUGGCGAAAGCCUGAUCCAGCAAUGCCGCGUGAGUGAUGAAGG